CGUGAGUGUGUUUAAUAAAUAAAGACAGUAGAAUGUGAUGGUGUGGUUAUGUUUAGAGAAAACAUAAGCAGCCUGGUGGUACAAAAGGGAGUCCAGUUAUGUCAGCAACACCAAAAACUGAUAGAAAUGCUCCAGGUCCAAAUGUUAUUCUCAGCACCUGAAACACAAUCUGCUUUUCUCUAGAGUUCAAGUUUCACACUCAUACAAGAUACUAAAGUGUAUUUCAGUCUUCUGUUUCUAUAGGAAACAGGAAGAAAAAUUGACAGUGGAACCACGGUUCCGGAGAAUCUGACUCAACGACUAUUCCAUCUAUGGCCUCCUCUCUUACAGUCCCACUAUUGGUCAGACUGCAGCAUCGUGUGUUACAGAUCAGCUUUGGUCCUCCUACAGCAUGCUCAUUUAAGUAUUCCAUGAGAGGAAAGUUGUUGGUGUAGAAUAAUAAGAUGAAUACAAUAUGAAAGCACAAAAUGAAGUGUUUAAACCUUUGACAGUCAACAGAAUACACUUUAUACUGUUUAUACUUCCUGUUUAAGGCACAUAUUUGCAUUGUAUCAUUUACCCAAAUACCCAGGAGUCUGUGCAAUAGGCUGCGAAACACCCAAAUUAAUUCUUUCAAUAAGUCGGUACAGGUACACUUUUUCUAAAGGUGACAUUAUAAAGUCUUACAUGUAUUACGUUUCCUUUUGGAAGUCUUCUGUACUUGUCCUGAGUUUGAUUCCAUGCGCUGAAUGCAUGAAGUGAUGUUUAUGUGAUACAGCAGUGGUAACUAA